rnacentral:lncRNA from 1 species
GAUCCAAGCCUCUGCGGGAAGAGCUGGUGGGAGGGUCGGAGCCGGCUUCCGGUAGGGCUGGGACUGGCGCUGGGGCCGCAGGACAGAAGGCGUGGCUGGGGACGCUGGAGGGUUGGGGUGGGGAGGCCGACGGGAUCCGCAGCUUGCAGCGUCGGUUCGGUACCCUCGGAUCUCCUCUAGGAGGAUGUAGGAUGAGACGGAGAAUCACAUUCUUCAGACCACCCGUCUAUCUCGCACAGGCAGACAGAGCACGUCAUGGGUCCUGUCUCCCAAAAGUGAGUUGAACGUUAUUGGGGCUUUUGCUAUUGUAUUGACUUGUGACUAAGAGAGAUCAGUGUUGCAUUAUUUGGAUUUAGUAUGCUCAAACUCAUUUCUUUUCCACAUUCCACGAAGAUUUCUUCCUUAAAAAAGGGGGGGAUAGGAAAGCAAAUUCCAGUGUUUUUAUUCAAACAUAAUCCCUAAUAUCCUUUCUGGGAGCUCCCCAAAAGGACAGUUGUUUUUAAAAGGAAAGUAUCAGUUAAGACAUACCAUGUCACUAAAGGGACCUUUAAAAAGUCAUUUGGCCUCCUAGCAGGACCACACUCAAAGCAGAGAUCACAAUCUAUCCCUUUCUUUAAAAUCUCCAAAGUGUUUUUGAAACAGUUAGUAAUAAUAAACAAGAUAAAGAGAAUCCA